rnacentral:tRNA from 1 species
GCGGGCGUAGUAUAGUGGUAGUACACAACCCUUCCAAGGUUGGGGUAUGGGUUCGAUUCCCAUCGCCCGCU